CCGAGUGCGGGCCCUCGCGCCCAACCUCCAACCCUUUGUCGAUUCAUAUCUGUUGCCUCGGGGGGCGACCCGGACGCGAGCCCGGGAGUCCCCCAGAGGUCCAAUCAAACACACUGCGUCUUUGCGUCGGAGUAUUGAAAACAAUCAAUCA
rnacentral:misc_RNA from 1 species